rnacentral:rRNA from 1 species
GAUGAACUCUGGCGGCGUGCCUAAUACAUGCAAGUCGAGCGAAUGGAUUAAGAGCUUGCUCUUAUGAAGUUAGCGGCGGACGGGUGGGUAACACGUGGGUAACCUGCCCAUAAGACUGGGAUAACUCCGGGAAACCGGGGCUAAUACCGGAUAACAUUUUGAACCGCAUGGUUCGAAAUUGAAAGGCGGCUUCGGCUGUCACUUAUGGAUGGACCCGCGUCGCAUUAGCUAGUUGGUGAGGUAACGGCUCACCAAGGCAACGAUGCGUAGCCGACCUGAGAGGGUGAUCGGCCACACUGGGACUGAGACACGGCCCAGACUCCUAAGGGAGGCAGCAGUAGGGAAUCUUCCGCAAUGGACGAAAGUCUGACGGAGCAACGCCGCGUGAGUGAUGAAGGCUUUCGGGUCGUAAAACUCUGUUGUUAGGGAAGAACAAGUGCUAGUUGAAUAAGCUGGCACCUUGACGGUACCUAACCAGAAAGCCACGGCUAACUACGUGCCAGCAGCCGCUGUAA